AUGGAGAGCCCUGAUUCCGAGUUAUGGCUUGAGGCCAUGAGAUCCGAAUUAAAGUCCAUGGAUGACAAUCAAGUUUGGAACUUGGUUGAUCUGCCAUAUGGCGUUCGAGCCAUUGAGUGCAAGUGGAUCUUUAAGAAGAGAACUGAUAUGGACGGAAAUGUCAUUGUCCAUAAGGCUCGACUUGUCGCUAAAGGUUAUCGACAAGUUCAAGGGGUUGACUAUGAUGAGACUUACUCACCAGUAGCGAUGCCUAAAUCAAUUUGGAUCAUUCUUGCUAUAGCAGCAUAUUUCGACUAUGAGAUAUGGCAGAUGGAUGUCAAAAUGGCUUUCCUUAAUGAAAAUUUAACCGAGGAUGUGUAUACGACACAGCCGGAGGGUUUUGUCGAUCCAGAGAAGUCUAGCAUGGACAUAUUGUUGAUUGGAAAUGAUGUUCAAAUGCUUGAAUAUGUCAAGGACUCAUUGAAAAAUAGUUUUUCGAUGAAGGACUUGGGAGAAACAGCUUAUAUUUUGGGAAUCAAGAUCUACAGAGAUAGAUCAAGAAGGCUUAUAGGAUUAAGCCAGAGUGUGUACAUUGACAAGGUGUUGAAGCGGUUCAACAUGCAAGAUGCCAAGAAGGGUUUCUUGCCCAUGUCACAUGGCAUUAGUCUUAGCAAGACUCAGAGUCCUUCGACUCCUGAUGAGCAAAGAUGCAUGGAUGGGAUUCCGUAUGCUUUGGUUGUUGGGUCCAUCAUGUAUGCUAUGGUAUGUACUCGUCCCGAUGUUAGCUUUGCUCUCAGUGUGGUGGGCAGAUACCAGGCUGAUCCAGGUGAGAGUCAUUGGACAACGGUUAAGAAUAUCCUUAAGUAG
rnacentral:rRNA from 1 species